rnacentral:lncRNA from 1 species
AUGAUAAAGGUUAAAAAUGGAGGAGGAGAAAACAAAAACAAACAAACAAACAUGCCAGCAUCUUGUAGCAAAAGAUGUUGUCACCAGCUGAUCCUGUGUGCCCUUUCAUUUAUUUUCCAUCCAAAGAGUCACUGGCUUGUUGAACUACAUACCGUCUCCUCCUCCACUGUUUUGUGUUUAUGGGAAGGUCUGGAUUCCUUCUGAGUUUUGGAGUGGUCAGGGAAGAAGAGAAGAUGAGAAGAGGUUUUUCACAGAGUAUCUUCUUAUUGCUACCUCAUCCAGUUAUCACAGACUGAGGAAAACUUUUCUGUCCAAUUCACUGCAUUUGCCAUUAUUUCAAAUUGUUUUGCUUCAGACUUGAAAAGGGGAGAUUUUUAAAAGUUUCUUUUGAAAAGCUGAAAGGAUGGGAAAUAACUGAAGUUUCUAGAAGGAAGGAAAGAUAAGAGAACACAAGAUCAAAAUCACAAGAAAGAAACGGUAUUUAAAAUGUUUGUGGAUGUUCACUGUUAUUUCACCAUUUGUCUACAGCAUUGUGCAUACAACCCAGAGAAGAAAUAUGUGAUGUAACAUAACUGACUACCCCUCAACUGCUUUCUUCCAAAGUAAACUAACAAGAAAAACCAAUUCUGUUUAAAGAGUCCAGAAAAAACGGGUGUUAAAGAUACUCAGAAACAUUUUGUGUAUACAAAAUGCUAUCAACUAUAAUUUUGAGCUAAGGAUAAUUGAAGUAGAUACAAAAAUACACAGCAUAAAUAAACACUCUAGACUUUGCUGGUAAGUGGAAACC